GUCCACGCCCUAAACGAUGCGAACUGGACGUUGGGAGCAAUUAGGCUCUCAGUGUCGAAGCUAACGCGUUAAGUUCGCCGCCUGGGGAGUACGGUCGCAAGACUGAAACUCAAAGGAAUUGACGGGGGCCCGCACAAGCGGUGGAGUAUGUGGUUUAAUUCGAUGCAACGCGAAGAACCUUACCUGGCCUUGACAUCCACGGAAUCUUUGAGAGAUCAGAGAGUGCCUUCGGGAACCGUGAGACAGGUGCUGCAUGGCUGUCGU
rnacentral:rRNA from 1 species